rnacentral:rRNA from 1 species
GACGGAGGGUGCAAACGUUGUUCGGAAUCACUGGGCAUAAAGAGCACGUAGGCUGCGCGCUAAGUCAGGUGUGAAAUCCCCCGGCUCAACCGGGGAACUGCACCUGAUACUGGCGUGCUCGAGGACGGUAGGGGUGAGUGGAACUCCAGGUGGAGCGGUGAAAUGCGUAGAUAUCUGGAGGAACACCGGUGGCGAAGGCGGCGUUCUGGACUGUUUCUGACACUGAAAAACGAAAGCCAGGGGAGCAAACGGG